AUUGGUCUUCUACAAGUGUGGGUUGCAGGAUAUAAUUGUUAGGAGUUUGUACCAAAUCUGUACUCUGUACAUGGAGUCAGGACUGGAUGUGGAUCUGAAUCUGGUUUGGACAUGAAGCUCCCUAUGGUCAGUUUCCCAUGUUUGGUCACAUUGGUUUACUGGAUCCCUCAUCUGUGCUCGGUGACAAAAGAUUUGAGUGGCUAUACCUUAAAUUCUUCGAUAUGUCUUAUACUAUAAUGGUUCGUCAGUAUUAGUGUCCCUUGAUAUGAGGUGGAUUCUCGUUUGUUCUCGUUGUAAAAGCUGAUCUCGCUUAUGGUAUGUGUUUGUGCUCCUUGAGAUGCAGGAUGUUGUGGAGUGAUGAAUGAAAGGAUCGAGGUUUGCUUUGCUGUUCGUGGUUAUUUUGAUUAGUUAUGGCUCAAUGGAUGGUUAUAAGCUAGGAUCUUGUGCGCUGAAGUAUUCGUUCUGGAUUGAGGCUGUGGAUUGGAUAGUUAACCAUGGGAUGGGGAUCAGAGAAUUUCUGAACAGUGUUUAUAAUCGAUCCUCCUCGAUUUAGUUUCUUUGCUUGCACAGUCAAAUUUAGCUUACAACAUCUCUGAUAUGGAUUGUUCUCCAGCUAUUGGACUUAUGGGGGCUUUCCGGAAGGUGCCCUGCAUGUUACAGACGGUUUCUUCUGUUGACUUCAAUCUUUCCAGAUUUGCUUUGAACAUUGUCCUUCCUAUAGUUUUCUCUGCCCUUGGUAACUAUGUGACCUUGCAGAUAUUGACAUGGAUGAGAGAAUUUAGUUUGCUAUUUGGUACUGGGGUUGUUGCCUAACUGAUCUCUCCCAGACAAGCAGGCUUAUCCUAUCACCUCAAUGUUUUGAUGCAUUAUAUAGCUGUUUUAAGUAGUUUCGUCUCCCCAAAGCAAAAAAUCAUGGGAAGGUCUCUUGGUCGUUGCAGGUCCUAAUUGACUAUUUAGGUCCAACCUGGUGCGGAGUUAUCUGUUUGAAGAUCUUCUAAACCCUACACCUUUCCAAUUCAUUGCGAUUUGUUCAACAUAUAAAUUAUCUUAUGGAGACAAUUUGAACAUUCAGACUGAUUUGGUGGAUGUGUAAGAUUAAGGUUUCUCUAGGGCUUUAGUCUAGAUGGGACCUACACCGGCAAAAUUCAGUGCUCUCUACAACCGAAAAGUUAUCUUAAGAUGGUUAUCUCCUGAAGAAACUUCUGUUCUCUUGGUUGCCUUUUGCUUGUAGGCUGUAGCAUUGAUUGUAUUUUUUCCUCCUGCCUUCCUGUGAUUGCAGCCAUGAUGGUAGCCAUUCAAAAUAUGUUACCUUUUUGGUUUAUGAUCCUCUCUAUGGUUUACUUUGUUAUAUCUGUACUCCACAUCCAUGUGCUUCUGUUGGUCUGUUGGCCUGGUGGGCUUGUUCUUUGCAGUAUAUGAUGGAAUUAGUGGGUGUGCCCUGUAGAGUCAUCUCAGUGUCUGCUCUGCUCUGAAUGCAAAAGUUAGCUUUGUUCCUCUUUUCUCCAAUCUCCAAUGGCUAAUCAACGAUCCUGUCUGUCACGUAAUACAAGGUGAAUUUUAUCUCGUUUAUGUAUGCGCCUUUGUUCCUUUAGAUUCAAGACAGUGGAGAUCGUAUUGAAGGGUAGAGGUUUGAGUGAUUCAUGGUUGUUAUUUAGCUCUUCGGAUGAUAUCUUAAGUUUGGGAUAGUAAUUAUUGGUCAUGCCUGCAUGGUUGAGGAUUCAUAAGUGUCUUGAGGCAUGACUGGAGUAUUUGGAUAUAUUCUCCUCCUGUUUGAUUUCUCCAUGUGAGAAUUUGGUUCCUGUUCUGAGUAUUACUUGGAUUUUUGGUUGUUCUCCAGCAUUUGAGCGUAGGCUUGCCCUGACUACUUCCUGAUUUGAUCUUGUCCAACUUCUCUCUGUUAACUUAUAGCAUUCCAAACAUGUUCUUUCUUGUCAGUAGCUUUUAGUUCCAUGCGAAUGUGGCAUGCAGUGAGAAUAAUUCAAACCAAUGUGCAUAUAACUUAACUAAACCAGGCUUAUCCCCAUCUCCUUGCUAGUUUUGAUGUUUCAGUUUUCUCCAAAAUGGUUACGCAUCAUGUCUUCUGUUCGUUGCUGCGUGAAGAGGUUUUAUUGGAAGCUUGUAGAGUUGGAAAAUCUAGCACUACGUCAGUUGAUGCGGGGACUUGGUCAAGCUAAUGGAUUGUCUGCUUCCUGGCAGUUUGACUUCUGAUAAUCUUGAUCUUGAGACAUGGUUUGGUCUUUGUGGCAGCUUUCAGUUUGAACUUGCAUUCAGUGGUAGUUUGGAGUUAGUAGUGUGCGCAUCUCAUUUUCCAACCGUCCUGAAGCAUCUUACUUGGUUUCUGCUUCAACUUGCAUGUGGUUUGGACAGAAUAUGAUCUCAUCUUUUGCUCCGAAUCAACAAAAUGCUAGAAGUAAUGAUGUCCUAACUGGAAAUUCCUUCAUUAGUCUCAAACAAGGGUUCAACAAUGGAAAUAUCAGUUCAUACUAAUUACUACUUGGUUGCCGUACUGUUUCUGGAAGUUGGGUUUUAAUAUUAGGCUGCUAUCUAUAAUUUUAUCUCUAGCGUCUUGCAGAUUUAUUACCUAAUACAUGUAUAUGAGCUCUGAAUGCAGUAAAAGACUUGUCGGGCUACUAUUCUACAUAUUCUUGUCCACACUUGGUUUGUUUAUUUAACUAUUUUCCUGGCGAGUUCUUUUGGAUCAUCUUAUGACGCACAAUCAAUUUUGGAUGUGCACAGAUUUCUAACUUCGGUGAUAAAGAAAGAUCCCACCUAGUUUGCUGGCUCUCUCACUUGAGUUGGUUUAACAGUUAGGUAAUGUUGAUGACUUGAUAUGCAGAGAAGAGGCUAAGGAAUUAUUGCCAUGUACUAAAACAAUGGAGAGUUGAAGCUUCUAAACUGGAAGCUUGAAUAAAUAGUUUGCCCUGAACACUACUCCUGAUUUCUUAGAUUACUGUCAUCUCAACUAAUUAUGUUACCGGUUUGGUGGUACGGAAUUGAUUUUCAGAAAAUGAUGUUCUUCUCAUUGGUGCUUCUCCAGUGGGAUCUGGAUUACAUCACACUAUGCAUCUUCUCGGUUUGCUGGGGAACUUCCUAGUUUUAAUAUGACAACUAGCAAAACAGUCUGGCUAAUUUCAUGAUUCCUGCUGAUUUUGUACUUUCAACUCAAGUAGCUCACGUUCCUGGAUUAAAGACAAAAAUGCGUUCACACAUACAUGAUUCCUGCUGAUUGUCUAACUUUCAACUCAAGUAGCUCACAUUCCUGGAUUAAAGACAAAAAUGCUUUCACACAUACCUUCUUCUGAUGUCUAAUCUGAUCUGGUUUAUGGGAUCUUCAACUACAUAUUCUCAAAUCUUUAAUUACAUAUAAUAUUGGUUUUCUGUGAACUCCCUAAUUUCAAUUUCCUUGGCAACUAGCAAAAAUACUAAUGAUUACUGCCAAUUGCAUAGCUUAUCUCCAGUUAUACAUAGGCCACACAUUAUAUUUCAUAGUCUGGAUUUUUAGGUCACAAAAGUAUCUCCUUUGACCCUCUAAUGGGAUAAAACUGUGAAAGAUAAUCAUCCUCCAGAUGUUGGUAUAUAUUCUUAUUUUCAAGAUUAAAGGUUUGAAUCACCCUCACCCCACUA